AUGGAAAUCGUGACCCGCGCUUCUCAGCAUCCCGUAGCAGCGGAGGGCAGAAACCCACGCGGGACGGGCAGCAUCCCACACCGCCGACAUCCUUCUUCGCGUGGAUCCCACGAGGGGCCACGAACCAAGGACAGAUCCACCCUGUCCCUUCCCGGGGCCGCACCUGGCAGUGCCACGCCGAGCCGGGGCCUCACUCCCCCCCAGCCACGCCUGUCUCUCCUCUCAGUGGCGGGAUGCUACAGCGGGACUGUUCUGAGCGAGCGCCGCGCGGGGCGGAGGAGCCAGGGAGGGAAAGCCGGAGCGGCGGACAGGCGCUACACCCCGUGUCUGUCCCGAACACACACUCUGGGGGGCAGGCCGGAUAGAUCGGAUGCCGGCUUGAUCGACUUCCCUUCGCACGGUGCCGGCGGGAUCGCGCCCGGAUUCAGCUCAGGGGAAGGCAAGAGCGUGGUUCAUACAUUCCCGGCCGCAGCCAUGAGCAGGGGUAUCAGUCACCGGUUCCAUGUCACGUUCAGCUGUCCGAAGUUGCUGGGCAGGCUGGAAUCCUAA
ensembl:lncRNA